UACGAAGGGGGCUAGCGUUGCUCGGAAUCACUGGGCGUAAAGGGUGCGUAGGCGGGUCUUUAAGUCAGGGGUGAAAUCCUGGAGCUCAACUCCAGAACUGCCUUUGAUACUGAGGAUCUUGAGUUCGGGAGAGGUGAGUGGAACUGCGAGUGUAGAGGUGAAAUUCGUAGAUAUUCGCAAGAACACCAGUGGCGAAGGCGGCUCACUGGCCCGAUACUGACGCUGAGGCACGAAAGCGUGGGGGGCAAACAGG
rnacentral:rRNA from 1 species